UACGUAGGGUGCAAGCGUUGUCCGGAAUUAUUGGGCGUAAAGAGCUCGUAGGCGGUUUGUCGCGUCGAAUGUGAAAACCCGGGGCUCAACCCCGGGCCUGCAUUCGAUACGGGCAGACUAGAGUUCGGUAGGGGAGUCUGGAAUUCCUGGUGUAGCGGUGAAAUGCGCAGAUAUCGGGAGGAACACCGGUGGCGAAGGCGGUUCUCUGGGCCUUACCUGACGCUGAGACGCGAAAGCGUGGGGAGCGAACAGG
rnacentral:rRNA from 1 species